rnacentral:rRNA from 1 species
CCAGACUCCUACGGGAGGCAGCAGUGGGGAAUAUUGCACAAUGGGCGCAAGCCUGAUGCAGCCAUGCCGCGUGUGUGAAGAAGGCCUUCGGGUUGUAAAGCACUUUCAGCGAGGAGGAAGGUGGUGAACUUAAUACGCUCAUCAAUUGACGUUACUCGCAGAAGAAGCACCGGCUAACUCCGUGCCAGCAGCCGCGGUAAUA